rnacentral:rRNA from 1 species
GAUGAACGCUGGCGGCGUGCUUAACACAUGCAAGUCGAACGGAAAGGCCCAAGCUUGCUUGGGUACUCGAGUGGCGAACGGGUGAGUAACACGUGGGUGAUCUGCCCUGCACUUCGGGAUAAGCCUGGGAAACUGGGUCUAAUACCGGAUAGGACGAUGUUUUGGAUGCCAUUGUGGAAAGUUUUUUCGGUGUGGGAUGAGCUCGCGGCCUAUCAGCUUGUUGGUGGGGUAAUGGCCUACCAAGGCGUCGACGGGUAGCCGGCCUGAGAGGGUGUACGGCCACAUUGGGACUGAGAUACGGCCCAGACUCCUACGGGGGGCAGCAGUGGGGAAUAUUGCACAAUGGGCGCAAGCCUGAUGCAGCGACGCCGCGUGGGGGAUGACGGCCUUCUGGUUGUAAACUCCUUUCGCUAGGGACGAAGCGUUUUUGUGACGGUACCUGGAGAAGAAGCACCGGCUAACUACGUG